rnacentral:lncRNA from 1 species
AAAAACCUAUUUAACAUCAAAGAAAUAUAUUCAACAAACCCUCACUUCAUCCAUCUUCUUCAUUCCUUGAUCAAUAAGACAUUAUUAUUAGAUUCAUCAUCCAUUUUGAGAGGUUAGUUAUUACGAUUUUUUUUUUAUCGAAUAGCUUACUCUUUUUUAAAUGAUAAAAAUAACAUGAUCAUCAAAGUGAAUAAUGCUUUUGAAACUACUAUUAAUCAUAAUACUCCUCAUUUUUGAUAUAUUUUUUAAGGGAAAAGAUACCAAAAAGAUUUAUGCAAAUGUUAAGUGGUGGCAACCUUAUCAAACCAGCUUUCAUCUUCAUUUGAAUCAUAUUACACAGUAGUAGCAGCCUUACCAAACCGAAGUCAAAGCACGUGUCGGUGAUUAAAUUGUCGAACAUAGAAAUGUGAAGAAUAAGACUACGCAUUAACAAAUAUCCUGACUUCUUUCAACAACGUCGAAUGAUGAACAACCAUCGCGUAUCUCAUAUAAAUUCAUUGUUUCUCCUGUCACCCCAGUAAUGUGAAAAGCAGUCAUACAUUAUAGAUAAAUAAGCAAUAAUAACAACAAUCUGAUCAA